AGGUCAAAGGAUCACUUACACAACUCCCACUAGAGAACUAUCAGCUGACAUGUAAAUAAGACUCCAUCAGAUGUUCUCUCAUAGAUCUAUUCAGUGAACUUAUUCUCUAAUGAGCAUCCAUAUUCUUGUAUUAGUGUCACCACACAAAUGGCUGUGAGAUCAACCAUCCUCAUCUCGGAGUAUACAUAGGACAUGCCAGUCUUACCGGUAUUAUUGAUCUCUGACUUAAUGAGCCAAUGACUGAGAAUAUUUUAGAUCAUAGCUA
rnacentral:lncRNA from 1 species